GCCGGACAAGGAUGAUGAGAGAGCAGCCAGGGAGCGGGAGAAGAGGCGGGUGCGGCAGGAGGAGAGGAGAGCAGAGAUGAAAUCACGGCAUGAUGAAAUCCGAAGAAAAUACGGCCUGUUCAAGGAAGAGAACCCUUACGCAAAAUUUGAGAAUUAGCAUCUCCAGACACACCCACCCACCCUGGUGAACAGUGCCUUCUGCAGAGCCAAAAGUCUCCAGGCUUCCCCCCACCACCAUGGUGCCACUUCAACUGCCACAGAAGAUGACCCAAAUCCUUGGUGACACCAUUGUCCCCACUCCAGGUGCUUGGUCUGCCCAGACUUUGCUCUUGCCCUGCUGGUGCAAGAAACCAUGGUGACAAUACUGGAAGAUGGGGCAUUUUUUCCUCACUCACCCCAGGGUGGUUGUGGUGUCCAAAGCAAUGCACAUAACAGUCCUUGUCCCAGCCAAGGGCAAAAGCAACGUCACACAUCUCCCUCACUCCUGCCUCACCAAGAACACUUCAUGCACACAGAGCUAGCCUCUUCUGCUCUUCCUCCCCCUCUUUUUGUUUUUCUUUUAGUAUAUGCAAAAGCCAGCAAGAGUUUCCUGACGUAAGGGCUAGCAGGAGGCUUUGGCUGUCACUCCAGGUGCAUGCACUUAUCCCAGCACAUUAGCAGUCCUCUCAAAGAGCACAAGUUUCUGGUGAUCUGGUGCUUCCAGGAGGAAGGUCUUAUGUGCACCUUCUCACUUGCAACUAAUCUGGGGAAAUGCCCCAACUCUCCUGCCUCUCUGUGCCUUUCUAGAAAGGUGGUCUUGGGCUCAAUGGCCACGUCUGUUAGCAAUACUGUAAGUUUCAAGUGCAUUUACAAUAUGCUGACUGUAUAUUAAACUGAUUCAAUUAC